CUCCACUCAAUAUUUUGCUGUACUAAUCUCCUGGUAGAUGUUUUUGCAAUAUUUCUUAAUUCAUUGGUAUUUCUUUGUUAAUUUUAUUUCUUUAGACAGGGUUCUGAUUCUGGUGUGGACACUUACUUUGGAUUUUGUACCUAUCCUAGGCAGGAGUUGCGUCGUCGUAUUGAUUUGAAGGUGUACCCAAGACACAUAUAUGCAUUUGGACUAAUAGCAUGGACAGGAAACGAUGUGCUCAAUAGGAGGUUGAGGUUGCUAGCAGAAUCUAAAGGAUUCCGGCUUGACGAUACUGGGUUGUUUCCAGCCGCACAUGGUUCUGGCAGCAAACGGGGUGCAAAAGGUAGUGCAAGUUUGAAAUUUAAUACUGAAAAGGAGGUAUUUCAUUUCCUGGACUUUCCUUGGCUUGAACCACAUGAAAGAAAUCUCUAAAUAUACGUACGAUUUGUAAGAAAUGUUCUGCUUGCUCUCUGCAUUCAACUUUUAGGAAUAUGGUGAUGCAUUUAGCAAAUGCCUUAGUUUUAUUCUCAGGGUGCUGCUUUGUAAAUAGACACUUGUAAGAUACAAUCGCACUUCUGACUUUUUUGUACAAUGGCACCAUAAGAUGAGAGCAGUUUUGCUGGAAGGACUUAUUUAAAAUAUAUUAAGUUAAUUGUCGUUACUGCAGUUUAA